CAACACCAACCAGUAUUACACAGGUUCAGAUAGGGGAUGUGUCAAGUAGUUUUACACCCAGACCUCAAGAGACAGUAUUACUGGUUUUGUCAGACAAAGUGAAGAAGUGUCUAUGACAAAGCACUUCAAUUCAAGUGGUUGACUCUCUACUAGUACAACUUGACUAACACUCUGGUAACACAUCAGUCUAUCAGUUAACUCCCAGUAACAACAGAGUGUAGUCAGUGAAAAGAGAUUCAAUACUACUGAAGUUUAGGAUCUGUGUGAAAGAUAUUGUUACUUUCAAAGAAUGGUUUAUUGUCCAGAACAAAAAGAAGAUGACUGAGCUCCAAGUCUUGUAUAUGUAUCAAAGCAAGCGUUGUCAAGGUCUAAUGGGUACUUCAUAAGAAUUAAUCAAAACAGUAAUGCAUGGACACACUCAUGAACUAUCAAGGAUUUUAAUGGUAGUUAAGUUUUCAAAAUGGUACAGAUAGCACUGAGUUCUUAGCGCUCAAACAAAAGCUUGUUAUUAUAUACUGCUACAUGUAAAAUUGAAAAUAUACCACACAUAUUUCUGUCUUGCUA